rnacentral:rRNA from 1 species
UGUCUCCUAAAUAGAGACUAGUAUGAACGGUUUAAUGAGGACCAAUCUGUCUCCUGCAGAAAAUCUGUAAAACUGAACCCCCAGUCAAAAUGCUGGGCUGACCCUAUAAGACGAGAAGACCCUGUGGAGCUUUUAAACUAAACCACAACCCAUGUUCAACCUGUUAGAAAGUUUUUAGUUGGGGCGACUCUGGAGACAAAAACAACCCCCAGACACAGGACCAAUUUCCUAACAUGGCCAACAAGCCUAUCAUAAAACCUGACCCGGUUCUCACCGACAAACGAACCAAGUUACCCCAGGGAUAACAGCGCUAUCUUCUUUUAGAGUCCCUAUCAACAAGAAGGUUUACGACCUCGAUGUUGGAUCAGGACACCCAAAUGGUGAGAGCCGCUAUUAACGGUUCGUUUGUUCAACGAUUAGACAGUCCU